rnacentral:lncRNA from 1 species
ACAGCAUUAGAAUACAUUUCAUUUAAAAUACGUGAAAAGGCUUAUGAAUUUCAUAAAAACUAGGCUUGUGCCAUAAAUCCAUUCUCAGGGACACCUUGGCCGAGGCAUCCUACCGAGACCGCCAAGGCUAUUAAAAUUCACAUUUCAUAUAAAUCAUGUUUUUGUUUUGAAAACAUAGUCGUUCCUUGGCGUUGGCUGAGUUCCCCCUCACGUGGUGGUUUGGCGUGAAGUGAACCCUAAGUUUUACCCCAGGAGAUACCCUACGCGCCUCUCCGUUCG